rnacentral:rRNA from 1 species
UUUGGCUCAGGAUGAACGCUGGCGGCGUGCUUAACACAUGCAAGUCGAACGAACCUUCGGGUUAGUGGCGGACGGGUGAGUAACGCGUGGGAAUCUGCCCUCAGGAGGGGGAUAACGGUUGGAAACGGCCGCUAAUACCCCAUAUGCCGAGAGGUGAAAUGAAUUUCGCCUGAGGAUGAGCCCGCGUCUGAUUAGCUAGUUGGUGAGGUAAGAGCUCACCAAGGCAUCGAUCAGUAGCUGGUCUGAGAGGAUGAUCAGCCACACUGGGACUGAGACACGGCCCAGACUCCUACGGGAGGCAGCAGUGGGGAAUUUUCCGCAAUGGGCGAAAGCCUGACGGAGCAACGCCG